ACUUCCUCUCUUCUUCAGUUUUAAAACGUAUACAUUUAUUACCAUUGAAAGAUCAAAUCUGGGAAACGCGCAGACCUACAAUCCUUGAUGAAUACACCACAAGUCGAUAGAAAGUGAGACAAAAUGUGUAGGUGACAGCUGGGUCUGUGUAACCACGUGAAUUAUUGCACUCUUAUACCGAUGUAUUAUUAAUUAGCUCCGAAUUUUACCUAGAUAAAUCUACAAGGAGUGCAUUCGCCAGGUUUCUAAGACGAUUCAAGCCUAACAUGUAUGUACCAUCUAAACUCGAAGUAUACUUUGGCCAUUUUUAACAUUAAAGUUUGAUGUAGGAUCUUGUGAAGCAUUCACUGUAACAUCUAAACUCAGGAACUAUUCUUUGUCCAUUUUUAACAUUGAAGUUUGGUGUAGGUCUAUAUAUCUAGAUGUUAGUUUCAAAUAAUUAAUUAUUAAUUUAUUUUCACUUAUUUCAUGGGGCGGCAUUUUGAGAAAGAUCUACCUCCUCCAUAGAUGGAGACACACACAAGAGUGAAAAAGAGGAGUAGGCCUACUAUUGUAAGCUACACACAAUUAAUCACCUUCAUCAUCAUCAUCUGUCCAGUGUCCAUUGACUUUCAUAGUAGGGGUGCUGUGACAGUUCGUGUAAACCAAGUCCCUCCACGUUUUUUCGUCAGCAGCUGUUCUUAGCAGGAUACCAAGAUAAAGAUCUGUCCAUUCCUUUACGUUGUCCAGCCAGCUUUUCUUUGGACGACUUAUCUUAUAUUCAGGGCCGCUAUUGUGCAAGUGUGCAUUGCACGCAGGCGGCCGAAUGUAGGGGGCGGCCAAAUCAUUAUUCCAAGAUUCUUUUUGUUCUUCCUGAGGUUCAAAUGUAUCAGUUGUUUUUAUUGACAGAUAUCAAGUUUCUCUACCAGCAGUUUGGUGCUACAAGUCAACAACACUCUGCAGCAACAAGACUCAAUUAAAUAAAGCCAUGUCUAUUUCUACAUCAUUUUGUUGCUACUAACCUGUUGUUACUAACAACUAACUUGAAAUGGGAGAGUCAUUUCAGUUCUCAAUUAUUUUGUGCAACAAGUUACAAGAACAAAGCGAUAGAGGUCACUACACUAAAACUUUGUCUUCUCAUAAGAAUGGAUGGCUGCCUGGUCAUGUGGUAUGUGUGCUGGACUGUUGUGUGGUCAUCUUGAUGCUCAUAUCUUGCCUGAUGACAUUAAUUCUGCUGCAUGUUUGGUCAAGGAAGUAGAUUCUCUUCAACUCUCGAGGAACAUUCAAAACAUGUCAAACAUAAGACAAGAAUAUCAAGCAAGUGCAGUGUACAUAGCCUUCUUUGUGUUCUAAGGAAACCUGCCAUUAUCUUUUGAUAGCUCAAUGUCGGUGAAGAUGUUUUUACAUACCUAGUGCAUCUGAAAGAAAUGUACAUUUCCCUAAUGCUACUUCAAAACCAGACUUUCUCAAGACAACCUUAGUGACCAAGCUGCAAUACAGGACCCAGUAGGAAACAAGAAUCCUCCCAACCUCAAGUUGAGUAUCCAUGCUCACCUACUAGAGUGGUGACAAAUACUUCUACACCCACAGUUUUACAUCCUGAACCCUGUAACCCAAUCUCACAACAUGGUUACUUACUUACUUAAUCCUGUGUACUCCCAUGGGAGGAUAGGGCAGCAACCAGACCUCUCCACCAAACUCGGUUCUGAGCAGCUUUCUUCAUCUGCUCCCAUGUCAUUCCAGCACCCUCAGCUUCACUGAUGACUGACCUCUUCCAGCAUGGUUACAUUACCAGAAGUGGUUGCGAAGUCAGAAAACCUAACCGAUACAAUGAAUAGAACAAUCAUUUCUAAUACAGGUACAAGUACUCACGUGAUGUACUUUGUAAGAACUAAUUAGGUGGAAUCACCAUAAUAGACUUGUAUCUUGUUAUAUAUUGAGGUAUAUAUUGACAAUCAGUUCAGUCGUUGUUCUUUUUUUUUCCCUCAAUCUUCUUGUUGUUUCAGUUAAAUGUUUUUAUCUUUUUUUUUGUUUUUGGAGGAGGGAAGGGCUGUGGUAUAUUAUUAUUAUUAUUGGAGUCACAACACCAAAGCUUAGCUACAUUAUGCUUUUAAUUCAAUUUAUCUCCCCUGCUUUUGUGUGCUAUCAUAUUAAUGUUCAUUAGUGUCACAUCCCUGCACUAUUUGUUCUAUGCUUUUUAUAGUGUAAAUAGUGACUUGACAUUAUUUAGAUCAAUUAUAAUAUGUUAUAUUAUAUUAUUAUAUUUAAAAUAAAACUUAACAUUUUCUAUGCUGUUAUUAAUAUGAAUGUUUUGCUUGUGUUGCUAUGAAUGCAGUUUUGAGUUUUAGUCCAAAAUCAUAGAUGAGAAAUUGUUCCAUAAAGAAAGAUCUAUAUGUAAUCUCUAUUUCUGAUGGAACACAUGUAAAACCAACAAAACAAACAGUAGACCUAGACUUAAUUAUCAGGGCAUGCAAACUUUUUUUUAUAAUUGUGAACUGGCACUCCCAGAGCUAUUUUUAUGUAUUGUUAUUUUUACUACUUUUGUAGACUAGUGCUAAGCUGUAUGCUUAUACUUCCGCCUAUUGUUAUAUGUGUUAGGGUGAUGCUUGUUUCCUUUACUUUUGACCAGAGGUCUGUUUGUCAGUUUUAAUAAUUCUGAACUUGGAACUGCCUGAAAGUUUCAGAGUUAUUUUAAUUUUUUUUUAUUUUACUACAUGUAAAUCUACUUUAUAUGUUAGUUAUAUAUGGUAAUUAUUUUUCGAAUUGAAACAACUGUCAAAAUAAUUGGCGGUUUGUUUUUUAAAGUUUGUUUUAUAAAGUUUGUUUUAAAAUGAUGGCCACUUCUAAUGUUUAUGUACUAGAUCUUGUCCUUAUGUUUUUGUAUUUUUUGCUGCAGUGUUUUGUAACUGCUGCUUUAGUCAUUUAAAUUAAAGUCUCAUUUUUCUAAAUUUCUUCUCUAUGUUUCUUGAUUUCUUUUAUCAAGCCCCUUGGUCACAGACUGAGGUGCACAGAUACAACUCACCCAGUAGCGUUACCAUCUGGCAACUGUAACUUAUUGUUAUCCCAGGCUAGACAUGACCUUGGGGCCCGCCACACUAACACAAUAUUAAUAUUCUCUUGAAUCAUUCUAGACAGCAUUGAGACCAUCCCUGUCCCUAACAAUACAUAAUUACCUUCCUUUAGUUGUAGAAUGAAAGUUGAGCAAAUAGUUAAGUUCCUACAUAGUUCACUCGAAGGUGUGGUGGCUGACCGGUAAAGUACUUGGCUUCCAAACAAGGGUCCAGGGUUUGAAGACUAGGAUUUUUUAUUUUAGGACUAUUAGGCACCUUUGAGUCCACCCAGAUCUAAUGGGUUCCUGACAUAUGUUGGGGAAAAGUAUAGAGUAUAGACUGUUGGUCAUUGUGCUGGCCACCUGACACACUCAUUGACCACAGGACACAAAAACAGAUGAGCUUUAUAUCAUCUGCCCUACAAAGUCUGAAAUGGGAAUUUUUUUAUUUUUUUUUUGUUUGACUUUUUACAAUCCACUUUAAUAUGUUUUUUAAACAUUUUGCUCUACAUCAAAAAGCUUCUCCCAU